GUAAGUAGUUGAAAACCAUCUCUGUCUCACAUGCUCUGCUCUAGGACUCAUUUCUAUUCUUUGUUGUAUGCAUUAUUGCUUUUUGGAUGUUAGCAGGGACUGGGGAGGCAUAGCUGCAACUUGUCUUCAGAGUUCUAUAGGCAGGUGAGACCUCCAGGGACUACACCCUGAGAGCUGCUGCCUGACAUCCCUUUCUGGUGAGAUGAGAUAGAGGGACUAUGUGUAGAGAUAGCAUCCAUCUCAGCUUCCUUGGUCUGCUUCAAUGCCAUAAGCUAUGCUAAAUAAACUGCAGGUGAUCCAAGAAGCUCUACUCAAGCUUCACUGAGCAACGAUGACAUCCUGGCAUGCAAAGCUGGUCUUUGCUUGCAGUGGAAACAGUUCUCAUGAUUGUGCAAAAUCUUGUGUUUGGUGGAUAUAAUGAUAAUGAACUAAUUUGUGUCAACAGAUUUCUUUAUGACCUUGUUGUUUUUCCCUUUUCUUUUGCCCACCUUGUGCUUUCUUAAUUUGUAUGGAGGCAGGGGAGAGAAAUCCUAUUGAUAAGCACUUUGUCUGUAGAGCCAGGGCUCCAGUUAAGGCUAACAAACUCUAUGUUGCUCUGCCUGGGGACAAGAAUUCCCCAUGUGAAAAGCCUAACAUGAGAGAGUGGUUCUCUGGAGCUUAAUGGGAUGCAGUGCAUGUAUGAAGUCACUGAUGAACAUCAAUGUUUUCAGAAGCAAUUUUCAACAAGGAUCCAUCUUUUUGAAGGCAUACAAAAUGGAUUUCUCCUUUUUUAUUGCUUUUGAAUAUCCUACUGCAAGGCUGCUGCUCUUCAGUUGUGGAUGUAUGCUUGAGUUUAGAGUCAUUUUACUCCUCUUGAUCCUUCUCAUUCACAAGGACUCUGCCUAUUCAGGUGUGCCUCGGGUAAGCGAUGCUGAACAGCUGUGGUAAUCAUAUUAUGAGGCUGUGUUUUAACCUUUCUUUUAGCUCUUGUGUGCUGUGAGAAUUACAGCAAACUGGGCUGCGAUAGAAACGCUGCAAAAUGGAAGUUGAGAGGAGAACUUCUUCAGUAAAAGGAAAAGGGUAGGGGAAGGGUUGCAGGAGAGAAGGAGAUUUGAACAAAAUCUCCAGAUUCAGCCUCUAAAGAGGAGGGGUAGUGGAAGCUAAUGCAGUGAAAUGAGCUGUAACAAAGCCAUGCCAGGAAUUAUUCAGCUGUUCACAAGAAUUUUAGAAGAACUGUAAUUGGGAAAUGAUGUGAAUAUCAAACAAAAUGUCACUUGCUGGAAGCCUCACAAGGAGGGGGAAAUAAAAAUGAUGAAAGUGCUGCAUUACAUGUCACCCUCUUAGGCACGCUCUGAAAGAGUUCCCUGCUCCCCACUUAGACCCUUUGACAUGCUAUUGUGUGGCUUUGUGUACUUCUGAGCGGGGUGGUUCUCUGCAGAAGAAAUUAAAAUGACGGGAAAGCUGGCUUGUCACAUUAAAUAACAUCACAUGCUUUUCUGCUGGGGAGAAAAACAGAAAGAAAUACUCUGCUGAGUUCCAGGAAAAUAGCUGCUGAGGAAAUGAGUGUGGCAACUCCGUCCCCUCACCUGGAAAGUAACAGUUGUGCCAGUAUGGGGAAGCACUGGCAGGGCUCAUGUCAGACCCGAGUUUCUGCUGUUUGCUGCAGACUUGAUGUCCACAUCACAGAUCUCUCUGGCUGUCCAUAAUGACCUUCCAGCCUAAAUGCUGGUUUUCUAUUUUACUUUCUUAACAUUUGAAGUGCAUUUCUAAAUACUGGGAAGAUUUGCCACCAGCAUUUCCUGCUUUUGUUUAUUGAUUUCUGCUUUUUCUCCAAAUUCCCUGCCUGUCCUUCUUUGGAAACAUGUCCUCUUGGAAGAACCAUCACGGCUGGAUUGUACCGUGAGGUCCCCAUGGCAUUCUCCUUGGCACUCACAGUAGUGUUUCCAUUUGGAUGACCUAUGUGUUCUUGGUCUCUUUGAUUUAGUGCAAGCCUUUGUGCAGAAACAUGGAGAAACAUCCCUCUACACAUAGAAAUGGAAUCAUUAAGGCUGGGAAGGACCACUAAGAUCAUCUAGUCCCACCAUCCACCUACCACCAAUAUUGCCCACUAAACCUUGUCCCUAUGUACCACAUCCACAUGUUUCUUGAACACCUCCAGGGAUGGUGACUCUACCACCUCCCUGGGCAGCCUGUUCCAGUACCUCAUCACUCUUUCUGAGAAGAAAUUUUUCCAAACUAUCCAAUUUGAACCACGCAUUGUACAAUUUACGGCCAUCCCUUCUUGUCUUGUCUCAUGGAGACCAGGGCAGUCAUUGAGCCCUGAGUUUGGGAAGAGGAGAAGGCAUUGGCCAGAUUUGCUCUGAGCUUUACCCAAGUGAAAGGAGAAGGUGAAAAGGUGGGGGAGAAGGGAGAAGGUGAGAACUCUGUGGAGGAAGUCACAAGGUCUGUGACUGACAAGUCAUGAAAACGUCCUAAUUUAGUUAGGAUUUCUCAGUGGUCUCUCUCUCAUAUCUGCAGUCACCAGGAUCUUAGAGGGUAAUAUGGCUUUCCUUUGGCUUUGUUGCUGGGGCUCUAUGGGGGAAAAGGUAUCUCAGUACAAUGCUGUAAAAAAGUGAGUUAUCAGAAAUAUAUAUAAAAAAUCAUAGUGACAAUCCAAACACUGUUACACACCCAUCAUGUUUAGGUGAUUUUUUAGGAAACUCUCUGGCAAACAAUUUUAAGAGCUGGAAUAGGCAUUCCUAUCUUUCUCUAUAAACCACUUUGAAUAUUUACCAAUUUAUUUCUUAAGAUAAUGCUUCUAAAGAGCAAAACACUCAAAGCCCUCUUGCAUUUUUGCCUCACCUGCAUGUCUUCCCAUGUAGACCUGGGAGACGCUAGCUUUAAAAGAAGGAAAAAGUAAAGAAAAGCACUAUCUUGCAGUGAGCUGUAGAGCCUGAGGCCCCAAAGUAAGAUUUUAAGAUUUCACUCUGGUUUCUCCUAAUCUGUCUUUGAAUGUGUUUUUCUGUUUGUUUUCUAUCUAUCUAUAUUUAACAUUUUGUUGCUAUUUCCAGUUAGAGAAGUGUUGUGUCUGAACAGGGACACAGUUACCACAAAACAUGUGCGCAAGCACAGGACUGUGAGUGGACACAGCUCUGUACUUGGCUGCUGGUGUUGGUUUAUGUAGCAGCAGGGGUACAUAUAUAACCUCAAAGCAGGUGUGGUGGAGCAUUCUGCAUGGUUAAACCCAAGCUGUAAUUCCCAGCUGCAGUAUCAGAGGGGAGGUGGUCAGAAGGAGACGGAGUAGCUAUGGGAAGUGAAUUGGUCUGUCAUUACAUCAAAGGAGGGUCAGACUGGGGAUUAGGAAAAGGUUCUUCACCAGAGGGUGGUCAGGCAUGGAACAGGCUCUCCAGAGCAAUGGGCAUGGCACCAAGCUGCCAGAGUUCAGGAAGUGUCUAGACAAUAAUUUCAGACAUAAGGAUUGUUUGGGUGGUGAGACACUGGAACAGGUUGCCCAGCGAGGUUGUGGAUGUCCUCUUCCUGGAAGCAUUCAAGGCCAGGCUGGAUGGGACUUUGAGCAACCUGGUCUAGUGCAAGAUGUCACUGCUUAUAAAAGGGUGUUUGGAACUAGAUGAUCCUAAAGGUCCCUUCCAACCCAAACCAUUCUAUGGUUCUUGGUUGGCCCUGUGAGGAGCCAAGAGUUGAACUCAGUGAUCCCUAAGGGUCCCUUCCAUUUUGAGACGUUCUGCAGCCAGCAAGGAGCAGCAAGGCUAAUGGUCUCUCACUUUGCUUAUGUCACACAUUGUUUAUCAAGGAAUGCAAAGCAGUGGUGCUAGAUCUUCAUGGUAUGACUCACUAACAUACACGCCAGCAGACCUUCAUCCAGAAUCUUUGCCUGUGUAGUGCCCAUUUUCUCAUCCAUUAGAUUUUUUCUGUGAUUUUAUGUUUUUUUUAUUGCAGUGGUUGAUCCCUGUGGCUGAGAGCAAACCAUCAGGAUUUCAGGUGGGAUCUCACAUGCUCAUGGAGCUGGGGCACCUGGCAGAUGGCAGAACAGUGUUCAGCUGCCCCAGUGUAGCAAGGCGAGCGCUGACCUGUGAAGCACGUUCAGUAUUCUGCAGUGGGGGAAUUUUCAUGCAGUCAAACCUAUAAACUCAGUGGGCCAGGCUGCUGUAAAUAUUUUUAAUCCAGGUCCACACAGUUAGCUUCACAGGUCCAGUGUCUGAUCAGAAGUACAAACUAUUCCAAGGAACCAUCUUCGCAAAUAGGCUUAUGUAUAAUCAAUAGCUUGGUGCAUGUGCGUGCACAAAUACUCAUUUAGUUAUUCUGGUCUGUGAAUGCAUGCAUUAACCUGACCGCCUGGUGCUACCCCAGCCUCCCUCCCCUCUCUGCAAACAGGAAAACGGAAUGCAUUCAUUGAUUUCGCUGCUUUGAUUUAUUUGCCUGGCUCUAAUCUCUGUGCAAGAUAAGACUGCUGAGAAUUGUCAAAUUGCAUGCUUUGGAGAAUUGAAGAGGCCAUUUCCUCUCUAUUUCCUACAUUAUAAGAUAAUGUGAGAUACAUGGUAGCAUCCUCCGCCUCCCCACAAAGCAUCAGUUAAUGGAUCUAGCUUUUAGUGUCACUGCUUUGUGCCAGUACGCACCAUCAUUUAUGCCCUGAGAAACUAAAUAGGUAUUUAUCACUGGUGGAAGACAAUUGAACUUCAAGUAAACAGAACGAAAUACCUACCGGCCCAUUUUCUUGGGAAAGUCUGUCCCUGAGUUAGUAAAAACACUAACUGUUUCUGGUGUUGGAGGCUUGUUUAAUUAGCAUUUUGGGUUCUGUAUUGUGUGGGCUGCUGCUUUUGGUGGGUUACUGCUUUCUGUCCCCUCCCCACCCUUCGUCCAAUACUGCCUCUCAGUGUUGUACGUCAUCUGGUGUUGAAGGGGGUCCCAGCUAUCAAGUACUACAGGAGCUGUUGGUUAAGCAGCAGCUGACUUUCAUGCAAAGAAGGGCUUAUUUUUAUUUCAGGGGAGGGGAAGGGACUUGUAUCACUGCCAGCUGUGGGCAAGCACUGAUCCAGCCAUUUGCUGCGGCUGGGUGGCUCUCCCAUGUCAUGGCACAACCAGACCGCCCCCAGGCCGGAGCUGUGAAGAAUAGCCUGUGGGGAAGGAGACUUGGUGUCAGCAAAGAGGAGGGGAAGAAUAGAUAGAAACGUGCUCAGGGAGAGAGAGAGCCAGAAGGGAAAGUCGCGGGUAGGGGAGGUCUUCCAUACUCCCCUAUGAGUCCACCUAGAGAGUUAAUGGGAUGGUCUGUGUAGCCAUGCACCCAAGGGAAGAGACCUGCUGUGCUGAAACGGUGGGGAAAAAGGAUGAGGAUGCUGAAAUACCCACAGGACCUUCUGCUUUAUCUCAUGGCUGAUGAACUGCUCAGAGUUUGGGCAAACUUUGGGGUUUUGUACUCUAUUGACGUCACUCCUUGGAGGAGAGCACCUCCUCACAGAUAAAGGCUAAGCUGCUGGGAGUUGGGGCAUUUCUCUGUCAAAAGUCUGUCCUGGGUACUUCCCAUCAACCCCAGGGUCGCAUCAACAGCACUGAAGUUGCUAGGUUUGGGUUUGUUAGGGAAAAAAUCCCAACAAAUUAAAGCAGAUCCAAUGUCUCCUUGCCAGCUCUUGCUGCAUUUGGCCUUGGUGAAUUAAUUUGAAAAGUAGUGAUGUGUAAUGGCAUGUGACACGUUCUCAUAUCCUUGGGACAGCUGCGUGCACUGGAGAAAUGCAGCUUCCUUCUGAACACAGCGAGAAAGAAGGGGAAAAAGAGAGGGGGGACUGUUACGAACAGCAUUAACAUAGCUUGGGGAUGAGAUCAUCCUCUCCUGUGCACCUGGGAGCUGGGAGGGUUCGUUAAAAAAACUGUUUAGUCAUUUCAGUGAGGUGGAAGAGCACUGCUCUCUUCUGGUAAUGGGCUUGGAGGAGGAGGAGGCAGCAGUGCUGCUAGUCAGGGGCAGCUUGCAGCCCCCGGCAUGCUGCCCAGGAGGUGCAGGUUCCGAUAUAAAUCCUUCCUUAAGUGCCUUCCUGCUUUGUAAAUGCUUCAUUUAAGACAAAACCUGCAAAAUUCCCACACAGCUGACGUUCUAGCCUCCUGGCCUUCCCUGUAUGACUUCUCAGUGAUUUCUAAUGCUGGCUAAAUGACAGGUACCACCUGCAGCUGGGGACCAGCACCAACAACCAUCACCUGGACUUACCUAAGGAAGGAAUGUGUUCGGUGCACAAAGUAACCCCUGCGUUUCCCUGUAAUUGCAGCAACUGUGUGUUGGACAGAUGGCCAACCCCCAGCAUCAUGUCAGGGGAGUUCUGCUUAGUUUUCUGCGCACCCAGCUUUAAUUACAGCUCUUCCAGACAUAUUUAUUCUAAGUUAACUGCGACGAUUCUGGAGCUGCAUCAGAAUAAGAUGCUCCUUCCCAGCAGCACCUUCUGCUCGCUUCCCCUAGCUGGGAAUGCCUUCCUGAUGCUCCUCAGGCAGACUUAGCUUGAUGUUUUACUCCCAUCUAGUGCUUCUUUAUUAAAACUGCUGGUGCUCUGCGUCUCGCACAGGGCUGAGCAAAUGCUAUCUUGUCUCUAACCUGGUGGUGUCUGCUCAGGAUACAUAAACUCUGUUAAACACGAGUGACUCGCAGCCUGCCCUGCCAGGACUGAGCAUCUCACGGCCCGACAGGGCAGGUCAUGAGCCUCACUGGCAGCUGGGGGUCAGCACUGCCCCAGCUGCGUGCCAAGGGAUUGCCGGAGAGGGUUAGACCUCCUUUCCCCAUCGUUUCUUCUAGAGGUGAGGAAGCAAACCUUCCCCAGCCACUGAGCAUUUGAAUGCGUGGGCACCACUGGACGAAGUGAAUAUUGUCACUGAGGAAGGCUUUGGACUGUGGGACCAGGUCCCAUGGAUUUAGAAUGAAAGUAAGUGUCUUAAGUGUGUCAAAUACUCAGAAACCACAGGCACUUCCGGGAGUCUUAUUCCCUGUCUUUCCUUUUCCUUUCAUGCUGUUUUGGUACCAAGGUGCUUUUUCUUUUUCCUUUUUUUAAAUUGACUUUUUUAUGUCUUUCUGUUCCUUCUAAUCAAAAUUCUGACCGAGCUUUCUCUUUGAACUAAUUUAUAUGAUGAAUGUUUUAGGAGUGUGAUGAGGAAAUAUGGAUAAUCUUAGGCUUGUGAUUGAAUAUUUACAGGCAUAAUACAGGCUUCAAGCCAGCUCUAAGUGUUUGGCAGCCCAUGCCUGACCGAGGAAAUAAGCACUCAGGUAAGAUGACCAACUCUCAUUAAAAUUUAGUGAAGGUCGUUAGUUUGCUCUUACUUUGUGAAUUUUCCCUGGGUGACAUAUUGCCCAAUGUGGUAUGAUAGCGUAAAUAUGGAAUUCUAGUAUGUGUUUUUUGAAGAUGUGCAAAGCAGGCAAAUGGGCAACUGGGGCCUUAACAUCACUAUAGCUAUCUCUCUUGAUUAAACUAUUAGCACAUUAAUUAAAAUUACUCUAGGGAGCACGUGCAUGGGGUGGGAAAACUGGCAAUCAUGCCAGACCACAGGUGGAGGUGCUGAGUUCUGGGCAGAGCAGCUUUAGGUAGGUAAGCACUCAUCUGGUGGGUUCCUGUACCACUGAGUCAGUGGCACCUCUCCCCACUCUGCCCUUGCCAGCAUUACCUUUUAUCUGCAGCAAGGCUUUGUGGGCUAGGCUGAGUAAUGAGAUAGGUAAUGUGAUGUCCCCACAUUUCUUUAACAUCUCUUCCCAUGGUCACUGACAAACCUUUUUGCUUUUCCUAUUGUUGAGGUUUCAUUAUGAUGAGCAUAAACAGUUCCCCAUUUUAUACCCACCACUGAACCUCCCUGAGACAUUCUGCAUUUUAUCCUAAGUUUCUGCAGUCUUUCUAUCCUCUCUGCUGCUCACAUGACCACAUAUUCCAGCUUGGAUUGAAACAACCUCUGUGCUUUUUGCUCAGCUGAUGUUUCCUGCCCAAGGUCCUGGUUUCUGCUUGGUGCUUUGGCCACUUGUGGCACAUCAAAGACCCCUUCUGCUACCAGAAAUUCAAACUCCUGCCUCUGUGUGCUGCCACUGCACUUCCUUAGUUUUAUUCCGCUGCUUCUUCAUGAGUAAUCAAAACCCUUUCCUUAAAUGCUUGGUGUUUUUUUUUUUCUCUGCAUCCUUCCUUAUUUCCCAUUCCUUUCAUCUUCCAAUGGGGUGCAAUCUGCCCUGUUUUUUUCUCCCCUUAGUUCAAACCCCAGUGAAUAUCUAGGCAGAGCUGUUCUCCUCUCUCCACAGUUAGAUGUGGCUUGCUUUCUUCUUCUUUUAUGCUUCUUUCCCUCUCUUCACAGUCAGUUUAACCACAGACGUGAAACCUCCACCGUAUUCCAUUUAGGAGCAGAGACCGUAUUGCCUGAAACCACUGCAAACCUAUAAAGUUCUGUGUUUGUUUAGCAGGAACAAAGAUUAUUUUUGCAAGAAGGUGAUGAAACAGCAAAGUUAGAGUUCUUCCAGCAGCAGAAAAUGCACAAAGGCAGGCAAUGUUUAUAGGCAGAUAAAUAUCAAAUGUAAUGCACUGAUUAAUAUUCCAGCAGGAUGGACUUUUAUGAACUGGCAUGUCAUUCUGUAGGUUUUAUUUUUAACAGAUGGGAAAGAAAAACAACAUUUGGUCUAGAGCCUCUGUCUGUCUGAAUGAGGUUUUGCUCAUUUGGGGGGCUGCAGCUAUUCUAAACAUGGCAACCUGAUUUAAUUAGCUGACUAGGAUCCUGCUUCAUCAGGGUUUUUUUUUGUGUGUGGAUAAAUGCACUCUAGCAAAACUGACAGUACUCAGAGCUCCAGACUGCUCCCGCCAAGUUUCCAUCUGAAAUGUGCAAACAAAAUAGCUGAUGAAAUAAUAGACAUGCUCACGCUGGAAACCUUUCUCUUUCCUUUUUCAGGGAAAUUGAAUAUCUAUUGAUUUAUCAUUUCUACCAGAUGGGGAUCACAGCAGUAGUUCCUCUGUGUUUUCACAAGCAGUGUCUUUCACAGAGUUUGCUUUGGUUGACAAGUUAUUUUCCUUCUGAUUUGAGUCUGCCUCUAAUGUGUGCUUUUGGGGUAUUGAUUUCACCAGCAGACAAGCUCUGAUUAUGGCUGUUGCAAGGCUGCCAAGGCCCUGCGAUGUGCAGAAGUCUCUUUGAGUUUCUUCUUCCUGAAAGGCCUAGGCUUCUUAGGGCUAGGAUGAAAAGCAUGAGACCCAUUAAGCAAAGAAGCCAAUCCUGAUGCCUAGGAGGGGUUGCAAAGGCAGUUGGAAUAAAAAGUGAUGCCAAGUCCUUUGUGCAUCUUUGUAUGUGGCACAGGUGCCACAUUGACGCAAAAUGUUUGGAGACUGUCUCCCCAAGAAAGUCUGUUGUCUUAAAUGCAAGUUCCAAUUAUAGUACAAACCCAGCAUUAGGGGCUUUUUGUUUUCAAGUGUGUUGUGCUGAGCUAGGCUUAUCAUCAAGAAGACAAGGGAAUUAACCUUGGUUUAUUAAUUUUAUGUAGACAUUAAUAGUUGCAGCAUCAGCAUUUCCUUGAUUUAGCCACGCGGGUACCACACACAGUAUAGAACUGAAGGAAUGCCAUCUGGGAAUUGAGAGCUGCCCAGUUUUUCAGUCUGCCUUCCCAAGGUUAUAUGACAUCAGUCUCUGAUCAACUGCCCUUUCUGUUGGCUAGUUUCCACCUCAAAUGAAAGGGACAUAAGUCCUGGAAAAGUAAAUUCCCCACCGAAACCCUAGAGGGAACCAAUGAGAAAAAGAGAAGAAGGUGUCAGGUCUCACUGAAUCUCCUUGUCAGCAACUGGCAGGACCUCGGGGUGUAUGUUGGCUUGCCAACCUGCUUAUGAAUAUUUCCAGAUUGGCUACCACACAUAUUGCUCCUUCCUGGUGUUGUCAAAGACAAAUGAGAGCAGGCAGUAGGAGUUACUGCACGUAGGAGAAGACAUUUUAUGGGAUAUCUGACACAUCCAAGGGAAAAAAAAAAAACACAACCAUUUUUGCUGCCCAGGAAACUGUUUGGAUACUUAGCUGGUCUGGCUUGUUUUGUUUUGUUUUUCCCUCAGAAAAAGUCUGAAUUGUACUGCUUCUUUAUUCCACCAUUCUUUCCCCCUGCAUAUUUCAACUAGCUCCCCUCUGCCAUGAAGUGUUCGUGACAGAGAAAGUAAGCCAGCUGACUGAUGGCUGAGGAAGAGGUUUUCUGCAGGUUAUGGGGCCAUGUGAAGGUGAUGACAGUUACAACAGCGCUGAACUGGCAUAGAAGAUCACAGCAGACCCUGGGCUAUGUAGUUGCUCAAUCUAGUAAUUUAAAUUGCCACCUUGCUUCCCACUGUUGCAGUUUUUCAGUGUUCUUGAAAAUUAUCAUUGCAUGUAUUUACAUAUAUUUACACAUAUACAUAGGUUUAUGCCUUGCUCCCUGAACAGGAAGGUUAUUGCUUGGUCUCAUGUUUUUGACAGCAAGUGCAUCUGGAAUCCACUUCCAGCUUCUGCACGUAGGUGAUUUCCUUCUAGUAGGACACCGUGAUAUCCACACCUGGUGCAAGGGCAGAGCUAUUCCACAGCUUCAGAGUACAAAAUCCUCCCUGUGCAGAUCAGCUUCUCGGAGGCUGAGGGGCCAUGCGUGUUCUAGUACUCUUCUGUUCAACCAAAGUCUUCAUUUUCUGUCUUUUUAGAAACCUGUUUAGAAACAUCCUUUACCUUAGGAUGAGAAGUCUGCUUUGGUCUCAAGCCCUGUCUCCCAGAGUUAGAGCAGAGCAAUACAGUAUAACCAAAGCUUCGUCUUUUGUGUGCAUAGCAAUGUGGAGUUUAAUUAAAAAUCUCACUUUCUGUUAUUUUUACUGCAGAUGACUGCUUCAGUGGGUGCCCAAGAAAACAGCAGGAUAAACUAACAAAAUGAAGCAGGGCUGUAUAGUGAAAGUGUUUGUUGUCUGGAGGACUCUGGCUUCGCUUGCUGAAGAAGGCUGAAAAUGCAUAAUGAAUGAGACAGGAUACUCCAGAAAGCCAUAAAAUGGUCUCAGAGGGCAUGUUCGACGCCUCUGUGGGGAGCUAGGUUCUGUAUCUUGCUCAGCCACAGGCUUGGUUCCUAUCCCUUGAACGGAAAAGUUGACCAUACCAUGCAUGCUUCUCAGCUUCUCAUUUUUUGUAUGUGCAAGGCAAGGCAGAUGGGACUAUUUUUUUUUUUUAGAGAGGUGUUACCUGCAGAUGAAGUGACCACAGCUUUGCCUAUGGAAUGAGAUAUAAAAAAGCUCAGAGUUCUAUAAAAUGAACCAGGAUCUAAGCCUGGGUAUUAAAAAUUCAUAGAUGUUUUUCAUAGGUCUAUACUGAAAUUUCCACCGUGUUGGUACUUUGUGUGCAACAUGAGGGCAGUAAUUCCUAAGUGUCUUAGCCAAACUGUAGAGGAAUCCUUAAUAUUUUGGAGGUACAAGAUGUUGCAGUGGAAAUAUUUGUGAGGAAAACACAAAUUUUAUGCUCGAGGAAGCAAGAUUUGGAAGGCAUGAGGUAAAUAAGGAUAAGUAAUGUGUAUUAUAGCAGCAUGCUAAAAAUAAACAGAAAUAUUUAGCCAUUCACUGAGGAAGACAAGGACGUUGUAUAAAAAUAUAGCCUACAAUCAUGUAAUUAAAGCCUGCAUUGUAAUUUGAAGAAGCUGAAGUAAAGGAGCUGUGUGGGUGGCUUUAGCUCUGUUGUCUUUGUCACUGAGUUUCUGCUUUAAUAGGUAGCUUUUCAGAUGUUGUUGGAUAUGUGACAGCGUGGUAAUAACUUCCACAACACAAGUUUAACAGUGCUCUGAAAGCAAAUAUCUUGCUUUGAAACAGGUACAUUUCACUGGACAAAAUCCUCUCUUUCAUCUCAGCGCUCCUCUAUUCUCUUCACUCCCUUCUUUGGAGGAAAGAAGGCUCCAGGGAGACCUCAUUGUGGCCUUCUAAUAUUUGAAGGGAGCCUACAAACAAGAGGGGGUAUGUCUGUUUACAAAGGUGGAUAGUCAUAGGACAAGGGGGUUUUAAAGUCUCAGUUUUAAACUGAGACAGGGGAGGUUUAGCUUAGAUAUUAGGAGGAAGUUUUUCACUCAGAGGAUGGUGACGCACUGGAACAGGUUGUCCAAGGAGGUUGUGGAUUACCCAUCCCUGAAGGCACUAAAGGCCAGGCUAGUGGUCUAGUAGACCCUGCACAUAGCAGGGGGUUGAAACUAGAUGAUCUUUGAGGUCCUUUUCAACCUAGGCCAUUCUAUGAUUCUCCUGUUGCCACCUCCAUGGGACACCACACGAGGGCCAACAGCUUUUGGUUGGCCACAGGUCCUUCUGACACCUGUGACCAGGCAUUGGAGGUUCCCUGCCUCAUCUCUGUAUCUCACAGCUCCUGGAGUGGGCUGUGACAUAAAUUCCUUGCAGGGAGUACGGUGUGAUGAGGAAGCUGUGCUGGCCACCCCACUCAGCCCCACUGCCAUACCGUCUGUGGCAACAAUGGUGUGUGGUUGCAGGAGGCAGUGAUGCUGAAUGCAGGAAACCUGACGACAGGGUAUAUUUUACAGCAUGGCAGCUGUAACGCAGGAUCAUAAGAAAUGUUUGCAUUUUGAAAUGCUUUAUCUUCCAUUUAAGGGAUAGUGUUUCUGGCAGGGAAAGAAUAUAUAAGGGUAUUAAAUGGCUUUCUUUGCAGGCAAUUAAACAAGGAAGCCGAUCAAAGACAUUUAAAUAAUUGUAACAGAUGUUUAUUGCCUGAUGCAGUUUACUGCAUCCUAUUAUUUCUGUUACAUACAGGAGAGAAGAACACAUGGCAAACUGUACCGCAAAAGAAAUUCUUUACUGCCUUGUGAGGAACGUGGCUGCUUCUCUGCCUUCUUAAUUGUAUCAUGUUGAGAACAAGUCAGUAAUAAGUAGUGUUUGGAGGGCAGAGAAGUGGCUUACUGCCUGGAGGAGCAGCAGCAAGUGGUGUGCAAAGACAUGGGGUUGGUGGUAAACACCUUUGAGACAACAGACUGCUGUGGGAUUGCUUCAAGAGUGAUGCUCAGCUCACUCACAUUAGGAAUUUCAGUUCCUCCUGAAGUUAUGCAGUUAGUACUGAGAGGGACAUCCUGGCUCAGGACAAAAGUGUUGGUGGCACUGUAAUCCUCAGUGACAUCUGGGAAUGGCCUCAGGUGGGCAACUAGGCAUCAAUAAAAGGCAAGCAUGUGACAACUCCCCCAGAUACUCCUCAAACAUUUUUGUUGUAGGGCCAGAUGUGUUUUCUUUGUCGUUAAUAACAUAAUAACAUACUUUAGUACUGUGUGUUUAAUUCUAUGUAUUUAAAAACAGAUUUUUCUUGCCUUGAAUUUAAGUGUUCAGAAUAGCCUAUGUAGGACAGUAAGUACCCUAGAGGAACCCAUGAGCUUUUCAUCACCAAUUAAAAGAAAGGGAUGUUUGUUUCCCUAAACAAUAACAAAAAAUUCUAACAAUGAUACUCCUCCCAAUCCCAAAUCCCCAUACAAAAGCCUAUAAACAUUCAAAAUCUAGGCUAGUGUCCCUCCACUUGUUUUAUCCUUGGCUUUGACUAAAAUCUGAGGCUUUUUCAGCAAACAUCUCAUAUUUUCAAAUUCAGUAAUGACUUCAUACAUCCUACUAAUAGAAAAAAAGACUUAUUGCCAUCAUUUCAGAACACAACUGGAAUAUUCAAUAUUCCCCAUCUCCCUUCCUCCCUCUUGCUGAAAGAGGAAGACUUCAGGGAGACUCUUUCUCAGAAGGAAUAACAAUUAUUUGAUGUGUUAUUCUUCCUCUACAGAUCACACCUCUCAUCUGGGGCAGAUCUUUUCUCCUCCUUGUGUCCUGACAUCAUCAUAGGCAGCAAAGUCUGCAUUAAAGACAUGAACUAAUGACACAGGCACUGCACUCUAAGAGGUGGUUCCUUCAUGGGCAAUCCACAUUGAGGUGAUGCACAGCAGGGAAGGGAGCUGGCUCCAGCACCCAUCAGGAACUGCUGAAAGGUACUCUUGCUCCUGGGUUGUCAACACAAGAUUUAGUGUGAGUUCCUGAAAGUGUCUUAACAGGCAUAGAAAGCACUGAUUCCCUCAAGUCUGCAGAAACAUGAUGCACAGCAACCAUUAGCACUGGCUUACAUUGCAGAACAAAUUCUGUGGCAGGAUGAGCCAGGUGCUAUGAUAGCUAUGAAAUAGCUAUGAAAUAGCCAUGAUGCUAUUUCAUCUGAGUGAGAGAGGGAAUGAAUUUGGGUCCUGGGGGAGCAUAGAAAGUGGAUGUUAUGCAACUCCUGAAAGAAUCAAGAGCUGUGGCUGUAGCAACUGCCAAUAAAUAUACUCAAGUACUACUCUGCUGGGAAUAUCUACAUGAGGCAUGAAGUGUGCUUACACCAAAUUACCUGAGGACCGCAUGAUGUCAGUCACAAGGAAAACAAUGCUGUGGGUCUUGUAGAUGGUCCUCAGCCUUGCUAUGACAAGAAGGUGCUGAGUGUUUGAAUGGCUCCCAUCCACUGUGAUUGCAUGAAGACAGGUGGGUCUCUGGCCAUGCCUACUCUCAACCUGCAUGGCAUGUUGUCUGACACUGGUAAGGAGUGUCUCAAAUCUACAUGAGGCAAUCAACAUCAUUUUGUGGACAAUUUUACAUUUGAAAGCAUCUCUCUGGAGCUGUUUGUCUUCAAAACAGAGAGCCCAGGAGUGUUUAUUGCCUGUAGGCUUGGCCUGGGAGAAAAUGAAACCAGCUUGAUACUGGAGACUGGGAAAUGAUACCAUUGUAUCCUGUGAAGGCAAGAUGCAAGCUGGCAUCUCCCUGCUUCCUCUCAUCUGUAACUCCAGAAGAACUGUCUUGGCCUCUUUGGACUAAAAUGUUUCAAUGCUUUCAGCUCAGAGCAGCAUUUGGAGACCAAGUUUUUCUUCUGGUAAAACAUAAACUACAGCACAGAAAUAGAAGUAAAACAUUUGUUUGCUCAGCUCUAGUAACUUGGUGCCGAGGCAUGCCCGCAGGUAUGCUUGUACUGUAAUUGCUGCAGCUGUUAUUCUGAAUUGAAUACUUUUCCUUGCUUGCUCCUCUUCCUCUUCAUGCACUGUAGUUUUAUAAAGCUCAAGUUGCUGAUGAUGUGCUGCACAGGAUGGUUUUGAUGUGUUGUCUGGGCAAGACUAUCUUUGACAGCUACCUUUUACUCGCUGGGAGAAACAGGUCUAGGACGUGAUUCCUGCUCCCUCUUGCUACUCUCUAAGUGUUGUUGCAGGUGAAAAGGAAACAUGCCUCGUACAUAAAGUCACUAAUUUAUUAGUAGCAUAAUAGAAAUCUCAAGUCUAAUCCAAGAAUUAUUAUUGAUGCAGAUCUGGUUAUAGAAAGAGGAGGAAUACUAUGAAGAAAAGUCUCGGUAAUAACAUGGUUCAGGUUGUUAUGUGUUUAACAUCCUAGUUUCUACACCUUUUUUUUGUGCAAUGCUUACACUUCCAGUGGGCCCAUGUAACAUCAAAAUUUACUGUUAAUAUUGCCUUUUGUUUGUGCUAGCUACUAUGUCUCUAUUCUCUUCAUUAUAAAACUGGUUUUGUCCAGCUCCAGCCUUGCAUUUCUUUAAAUGAACACUGGUGGGUUGUUUAUAACCAUGGGAUCACCAAUGCCAGCCUGCGCUACUUCUGUUACCAUCCUAGGUCUGUGCUGCUCCUCACCAUGUCCUGUGGCUCUGCCUCACAAGGUUCUCUAUAAUGUAUCAUUAUGUUAGAUUAAUAAAUAUCCCAUUCUUUAUAUAAUCACUGCUUGUUACUGCGGUCUAUAUAAAGUCAUGGUUGCAGCCUGUAAAGAUAAACAAAAGUAUAGUAAGCUAUCUAUAGCCUCCUUGUAAUCUGAAAAAAAAACUGCUAUUACAGAUGAACCAAGUAAAAUAAGCUGCAGGUGGGUCAUGAGAAGACCAGGCAUAGCCAGCCUGGAGAGCCUCUGUUGAGGCCUUGCAAGCUUGGUACAGAGUUUGUGGCUUGUUCCUAGCACUGGCAAUACUGAUUUCUUGUGCUCUCAUGAGCUUCCUUAUUUGUUUUGAUGAUGCUUCUGAGUUGCUCUGAUCUAAUGGCACUUGCCCUUUCCUGGUUCAGUAUUUCUUUCACAUUUUUUUUCUGUUACGUGGGGUCUGCAGGAUAAAUACCACUGGGUGGGAGAUGGGUAGGGAAAGGAGGAAGGUGAGCAAAGGAGAAUCAGUCUACCCCAGCAGUGGGAUGAGGAUCAUCAUCUCCACUUCUCAGCACAAACAGAUUUUACUAAACUUCCUGUAAGUUUGUCAAGAGUGGUCUUUGACCUUCUGCUUGUCCUGGCCAUCGUAGAGGGUAGGAGCUCAACAAAAUCUCUCUCCUCUGCUUCCUGACUACUCAAGGCAUCCUUCCUGGAAAGAAUGAAUCACUCCCCAAGUGUCAUAGGAAAGACCAUAAGCUUUCCUUAAAGCUAAAGAAAUUCCAGUGUAAUUUCUCAGCUCCAGUGUGGGUCACUCCCUGGCACACCAGGGGCUUUCUUCAUGAACAGAAACCACUCUGCAUAAAUUGCCAUGGCAGAAAUGGGCCCGAGCAAACAAAGACAAUAUGAAUUUGGCUAAAUAAUGUAGAGACAUAAAUUUAAGGACAAAGGUGAACUGAAAAGCCUCCCAAUCAGAGGUUGUCUGCACCUGCCCAUGCCAGCUCCAAAGGGGACUCUGCACCAAGGUGUCUUGCCCUUGGUCAGCUUUUCAGCUACACCCAACGAAAGCCUGUACUUCUGGAGCAUACCAGAGCAUCCCCACUUGCAGCUCCUUACCAAGUGAUAUGUGCAGAUCCCACCUUUGCCAAAUCCACUGCAAAUGUUUCCUGUUGAGACCCAGAGUCUCUCUUGGAGGCCCUGGGCCAGCUCUGGGGUCCACCUCACUGAUUGAACUCAGUGGGGUCACCCUGAGGACCAGCAGAUGGUAUCUGGCUUUUAGCUUCCUUCCAAUCUACCGUUGUCACAACUUGAAAACAAGCUAAAAACUGCUUUUCAUAAUUUCUUUCUUAGGCAAAACUCUUAGCAACAACCUUUUUGUGUGUUAGAAGGCAAUAAUCAAAUCACUCUGGCCUUUUGCUGAAGCAGAACAAAUCCAUGGCUGUGUUCCCAGCUGUAAACAAAGGGAGCUCCUGGUGACUGUAGAUAGACCCCAGAAGAUCUCAGGCUCAUCUCCAUGAGGAACCUCUGCUGGAAGGAAGCCCACUGAAUAAAUUCAGUUAGUUAUUUGGACAGGAUCAGUGGUGAGAUGAGAGUCAUCUAGCUCUGACUUUAGAAGUGAAUUGGAAGUCAACACCUGCAUGAGGUAAAUUUGAAGCAUUAUGCAAACUUACUUGUUUAAGCUCCUGACUAAGAAGCUUUUUUGUUUGCUUCCUUAUUUUUGUCAUGAUUUCCUCUUUGUACCAGAAACAUGCAAAAUGGUGCUGCUUUCUGCAGCUGGCCCCUGCUGUGCCUGACCAGUAGGGCUGCAAGUAGGCAGACAUCUGCUAAGCGCCAUGACACAUGAUUGCUGGAGCUGAGCAGCAAGGAGGAGCCCAGGCAGACCAUCCACUAUAGCAGAACUGAAUUUUUGCCAUCCUCAAGAAUCUGGAAAAGCAAAGACCCGGCACUGACUGUGCUUAAGGCAGUGACUUUGUAGUCUUUGUCAGGGUGCUGCCUGAGGCUAGCUUCUGCUUGGGUUACACCAAAGGGAGGAAGGUCUGCAUGAGUUCUUUAGGGACCUCUAAUGAAUAUUAAGGGCUUUAGCAAUAUGAAACUUGCUUGAUUUUUGGGUCUGAGUGAAGUGUUGCUAUGCUGUGGUGAACCUGAACUUUGCUUCCUUGGUCCAAAGGCCUUUCCACGCCUUAAAAUAGAAAGAAGGGAGUUGUGUUCAGUUAAGUGAAAGGCACAUUACCUUGGACCCAUCUUUGUAACAAGCUGCUCCCGAAUUGCAGUUCCAAUCAGAUCCAGAGACUAAAGUUGUAGCUGGAGCCCAUUGACAUCAUUAAUGGAAGUGUUUCAUUUAAAGCAGCAAGGAGCUGGCUGGCUGUAGUUGUGAGAAGCACCUCUUGCUGUUAGCAGGCAUUGGUCCUGCUGCGAAGGGGUUAAAUGAAUUCUGCCGGCCCUGGGGAAUGGGGAACUCAUUAUUUUCUUGGAGCAGGGAGGGGAGAGGGGAGGAAAGCUGAAGCCAGAGACAGAGAAAAGCCUUACAAUGAGGCCUCCCAGCUGCCCUUGGUAUAGGGUGCAGGACAAAGGGCUAGGAGGGCUGGGGCAGGCUCCAAGCUGGGCACGCACUGGCAAGUGGGCCCUGGCCAUUCAUGGCUGGCAUGGGGGCUAUGUGCCCAGAGGUGAUGCUGGACAGGUGGUUUGAGUUCAGUUAGCUGAACCUGUUGUCUGCACUUUUGCUGAGUUCUGUGGGAGCACUGGCUGAACCAGCGCCUGCUCAGCCAGCACACUCUGUUGCCUGACCUGCAUGGCCAUGUUGCUCACGUCAGCUGUGGGGUGACUCAGUCAGGGGUGGCAGUGAGAGCUCCAGUCUUGUCUUCUGCUGGGCUGACCCUUGACCUGAGCUUGAAUGGAAAGUGCUUCAUUAAUUUGGACUUCUUUUUUCUCCUAAAAAUUCUGUCACUUUAAAAGAUUUCAUUUCACUAGGAUUCAUAGAAAUCAAGAGGUACAGCUUCCUAACAUCCUUUAUUUUCUGACUUAAUGGCUUUUAGAGCUGCAUUACAGCCAAAAAGAAAGAGGAUGAGAGAAAAGUGUUAAUGUAGGAGCAAAGAAGGUCACUGGGAAACCUGGCUGCACAUUCAGAGAGAGAUUUUCCUGUGUCCAGGGAGUCUAGAGCCAAUGGUGAGUAGAGCAAGUUGCCUGUAGCUGUUGCUUGUAUGUUUGGGAGAAGCAGAGCCUGAUUUCUGGGCCAUAUGGUGAGAGCUCCAGCUUGUUGAGCAUCUCUUUGGAGCAGGCUGUCUACCUGGGCACAUGCUACUUAGUGAAUUUUCCCCUUUAAGCUCAGUGAGCAUUAGCUCCCUGCCCUACAGAUACCCUUCCAUGUGCCUGGGAUGCUGACUGGGGUGGAGCCCCAGUGGGCACCAGAUGAUGACCUCUGAACUUGCACUGAUGGCUGUGUCCAUCACUGACGUUUUUCUUGGAACUCAUGGAAUCAUAGAAUGGCUUGGUUUGGAAGGGACAUCAAAGACCAUUCAGUUUCAACCCCCUGCCAUGGGCAGGGCGUCCACCCACCAGCUCAGGCUGCCCAGAGCCCCAUUCAACAUGGCCUUGAACAUCUCC
ensembl:lncRNA